UUACGAAAGCAAUUAUAGGUAGAUUUUAGGAGAAGGAACUUUUUGUUUAUGUAAUAUUUGAAAUAAUAGAUUUAAUUAUAGAUAAUUUGUACAGUGAUGGAAUUUUUAUGUUAAAGAAAGAAGACUUUAUUUGUUGUACCUUUUGUAUCAGGGUUUAUCAAAAUUAGUUUUGAAGUUAAAUUUUCUCGAAUUUUGGAGGGCUAAAAGUUAAUAUAUUUUAAUGUGGAAUAAUUAUUUAUAAUUAAUUUUUUGGAAUUAUAUGUUAGUCGUUCUUUAUUAUAUCUAGUUUCUUGAGAAAUUAAUUUAAUUAACUGGGGCAGGGUGGAUUUUAUUAGUAAAUACAAAUCCCUGUAUUUGGAAUACCUAGAGGGAAAAGCUUUUAGGUAAAUUUUUAUAAUAAUUUAGGUUUUAAUAAUUUAUAGGAUUAGAAGUUUCCAUUUUUAGUGUGUUUUUACUAAAUUUUAAAAAUGAUUAAUUUUUGUUUAUUUAAAUUUUUUAUUGAGAUAAUAGCCUUAAUGUUCAGGUUUUGUAAUAAUGAUUAAAUUAGUAGAAUUUAGUGUAAGGCAUAAUACCUAAUUAAAAAUUAUAUUAAGGAAUUAGGCAAUUUUUUUUUCCGCCUGUUUAAUAAAAACAUGGCUUUUUGUUGUUGAUAUAAGGUCAGGCCUGCCCAAUGAUAAUUUAAAUGGCUGCGGUAUUUUGACCGUGCAAAGGUAGCAUAAUCAUUAGUUUUUUAAUUGGAAGCUGGAAUGAAGGGUUUAACGAGAAAAGAACUGUCUUAAUUUAAUUUUUUGAAUUUUAUUUUUGAGUGAGAAGGCUUAAAUGAUUUUGAGGGACGAGAAGACCCUAUAGAAUUUUAUAGUUCUGAUAUUUUGGGGGUGUGGUUUAGGAUUCCCAAUUUAGCUAUGGAUUAGUUUGUUGGGGUGAUGGAAAAAUUUGAACAACUUUUUUUUUAUGGGUUUCACUGAUAAGUGAAUGUUUGAUCCAUUAAGAUUGAUUAUAAGAAAAAAUUACCUUAGGGAUAACAGCGUAAUUAAUCUGGAGAGUCCAAAUCGAUAGAUUAGUUUGCGACCUCGAUGUUGGAUUAAAAUUGGCUUUUGGUGAAGGGAUUAAUAAGCUAAGUCUGUUCGACUUUUAAAAUUUUACAUGAUCUGAGUUUAAACCGGCGUGAGCCAGGUUGGUUUCUAUCUUCAAGUAAUUUAAAUUUUUUAGUACGAAAGGACCAAGAAUUUUCUAUAUUAGGUUUUUGUUGAGUGUAAUU
rnacentral:rRNA from 1 species